CUUUUAAAAACUAGCUACUCUAUAUCCGUUGCAAUUAAAAUAUUUAAUAAUGGCUAGAUCUGCAUCUAGAAAACAAGUUCCCGAUAUAUCAUGUUCCCUCUCUGGCAGCAGGUGCUCUUCCUCAAUUUUUACAACUGAGAAGACACACCCAGUAUCACGUAGUUGGCAAACGCCCGAGGUAUAAGCUGAAGCCCCGCUGCCUAACUCCAGAACCCGAGCCUUGCUAAUAAAACAGGACCUGACCAAGGGAGUCUCAGAACAAUCUGGAGCACAACGGAAGCCAUGCCCGGGAUACAGAUGCUGCUGCUGAGGGGAAUGUGAAAGAGGCAAAAGGCCCCUGAGCUGCGUCCCAUUUGUGCCUUCAGUUUUCUUGGUCUUGUGCAAAGCUACUCCAGGCGCUUGGAUAACCCACAACUGCUUCAGGAAAAGACAAUUAAUUGUUUCAGAGUCAUUAAGAUAAGUGAUUCACUGAGCUCUGUGUGUGAAAACAAGGACGGGGCGAGGAGGGGCAGGUCUGAAACACCCAAAAUGCCUCCCUUUUCCAUAAAACCACGGACUCCACGGACUGGUCCAGCCUCAGACGUUGAGGAGUCAGACCUGAAAUGCAUGGUAGCUAUGAGCGUCAGUGAUGAUCCCAACACUGGAUACCCUACCUGGGCUGAGAGGCUGACUCCCACCUGCAGCGAACCAGACACUGCCCAACAGGGAUAAAGGAGAGGGAGUCAAGAGGACCCAGUGUUAGAAGGAGGGGCGGAGAGGUGAAAGGAAGGCUCUGGCUUUGAUGCUAAGGCUUCCCUUCAAAGCUAUCAUGAGGGAAAAACAUGGGGGGCUGAUAUCCUGGGUCCCUGAGCUCUGCCAUGGGAAAGAGAAGAGCUUCUAUCGGAAGACUAGGCAACUUACAAGAAAUCUGGACAGCAAGAUUCUCUCUGGAACAAAUGCCAAGAGGGAGAUGAAUUAUUCAGUGUGUGGAGACGUGUCAUUCAGAGAAUCAGGAUGAAGAGAGGUGUUUUUAGCUGCACAACGAUUCCAACACACACACACACACACACACACACUGUUUCCCCUUGGGCAAGUGCCAAGAAUGUGAGCUGGGAAGAGGCAUCUGCUUUCAGACGUGGCCAGAAAUUGGGGGCGCCUGCGGGGAAUGGCAGGAGCCUGGACGGGGAAGUCCCCGUGCUCCGACGAAGCGAUUCACCCCCACCCCCGUCCAGCCCCCUGCAGUCCCUGCUUUCCAGCCUCCAAGUCCUGAAUACCCACCCCAUCUCUCUCGUGAAAUCAACUGACCCAAAUGCUGGAAGGGUGAGAGGGAGGGCGGGAGGGGAGGAGAGGGCGCCAAGAGAAAACUCGUUCUGCCUCUUCUUAAUUACAAAUCUCUGAAGGAACACAAACAUUCCUGAAUGUUUCACAACAAGCUCUCCUGGAAAAAAGGGCCCGGAUGUGUUGCCUUGGAGACAGGUAGGGUUCUGUGGGAUCACCUGUCCGGCAGGGGCAGGAAUGCAGGCCCCUUUGUCCUCUUUCCAGCUCCCCAUCACCACAGCCGGUUGGCAUUCGGUAUUCAGACAGCACGUCUUUUCUAAGGAGGGAGCCCAGAGAAGGAGCGGAAAGCCUUUUGCCAAUCUAACACUGGGUGGUGAUUCUCUUGGGACUGAAGAACACGUAACAUAUCUUUCAUGUUCCUGGUGCUCCCCGAGCAAUCGGAACGCUUCCCACAGUAACCUCUUUAUCGCCGUCCAGCAGGAUGCUGGCCCCCGACUGGGCUCUCUCCAAGGGCCAGCUGGGCGGGAUUGCUUUCUAAAGGGCCCUCCAGAUGCCAUGCCAAGAACUGUCCAAACUUUCAGCCGAACCUCUCUCCCAGCCUGGGCACAAAGGACGGGCUGGUUCUUCCCGCCCCGGGGUGUUUCACACGCAUAGUUCCCAUAGCUCAGGUUGUGCAAGUCCUGAGGACGCUCCACCCCCGGACUGUGGCCCGUACUGGCAAUGGCUAAGCAGACCCUCUCCUUCCCCACCGGGAAGGCUGUGUAAGCGGGGACAAAAUGCAACCUCUGAAGUUCUCCUUCCUUCCAUUCGGUUUGGUUCAAACACCUUCCAUUCGUUCGUUCCUUAAACAAAUCUAGGGCUGAAAAAAAUAACCAUUGUAUUAAGUUGGUUUGGAGGGCUGAGCACUCGAGCCCUCAGCCAAAUCUUAAUGAACACCCAGCUGCAGAAAUGGCUGCACUAGCAGGAUCCUGCCUGAUUCCCCCUGGGGAGACCUGCCAGCCAGAAAGUGAAUCCACAGGGUCAUCUCAGAGACGUGUGCUAUUCAGAAAAGUCCAAUAGGGAGUGGGAUUAAGUGUAAGCAUGGGGCAGGGGAGUCAAGGAAAGCUCCUCCCAGAAGGGGACCUCUGAGGGGAGACCAGAUGGUGGGAGGCAAGAGGAACAGCCGGUCCAAAGGCUUUGGGGCAGGAUGAUGUUGACACGAGGAACAGAAAAGAAAGCUGCCUGUCUUCAUGUUAUGAGUGAUGGGUGGAGGGAGAGAGGGGCAAAGCCUGGGCUUUUAGGGUUCUGGGGUCCCUGAUAGGACUUUGAGCACCAUCCCUGGGCCCAACUGCAGAAGGUGACACAGCAAAGCUCUCUGACUCACCCUCUCCUCACCUCCCUUCUCCCUCCUUUCAACUAGUCCUCUGAGUGACAAGAAUUUACUGCAUGGACACAACAAGCCCAGUCCCGCUCUGGGCACAAUAGGGCUCAGACAUCAGAAUAAGCCUCAUUUCUGCCUUCAAGAGCAGAGGGUCUGGCCAGGGAGCUGAGGCUUACACGUAAAGCAAGGCGUGGCCUAUCCCCGUGACAUCCGGUGGCAGCGUGUGUGACGGUUACGCGACCACAGGCUGUGAACCACAGCAAUUAGAGGAUGUAGGGAUAAUGAAUAAAGGGCUAGGUCAGCUGUACGGAUGUGAAAGGCCAAGGGGUGGGGAGAAGGCAGAGACUGACACAAGGGGGUGUCGUCAGGGGAGGUGGGAGAAGGAAGCAGUCCAGGGAGGGUGGUGGUGGGCUUCGUGGCUGAUGGGGAGGCAGGGUAGCUGGUACCCACAAAGGCCAAGGAACGGAUGCUGGGCAGAAACUCAGGCCGUGCCUCUAAACAGCCAUAGGUGUGUUGCGUAACCUUGUCAGGCGUUUGGUUCUCUGUGAAACUCACAAGCCCCAAUCUCAUGAGGGUGUUGCGGGGAUUAAAGGAGAUAACCUCUGCCACGGGCUAAGCACUGGGCCUGGCACAUAAUAAGCAUAAAUGUGGGCUGUGAACAUGAUCGGGCAAGACUUCCAUGCUUCGCACACCGUGAGAAUCAGAAUCGUGUCAUCUUGCACCUUAGGUCGGUCGGAUACGUUUAGCUGUCACCAUCAUCAUCGUCAUCGUCCUCCUCUUCCUCAUCACUGUCCCCACGGCUCAUGGCAAGAGAUACACAUGGGGGUUAAAACGCAUAAGCUCUAGAGUCAGGCACCUGGGCUGCCAGGCAGGCGCCAUGACUUCUCAUUCUGUCCCCUUGAGCAUACCCUACCUUGCCUGCAUCCGUCUCUUCAUCUGUAAAGUGGGAACACCGAGCAUGACUGCCUGGUUAAAAUGAGCUAUGCUGAGCCCAUGGCACACAGGGCUCAACCAACAUUAACUCUUGUUAUCAGUUAGGUUUUAUAUCCCUUUUCCUGGUGAGGCAAAAGAACUGUCCAUGCUCACAGGCAGUAAGCCUUGCAUUGUAUUCCCCUGCCUCUUUUCCUGGAGGAACUGGGAUUGCUUAAGCACUGGUUUUUGGAAAUUAAACCAGAGGAAGUUAAGAGGUGACAGCUCUAUUGGCUUUGACUCUCAAAAUGUGUUCUCUGGAGGAAGUCUUUACACUAGGAAUUUCCAAGUUCUCUUUCUCUUAAACACUUCCCUCCCUCCAUUCUCAAAACACCUGCCUUGACAUUCUGGUUAUUUGACCCCCAGACUUCCUUGCUUCCCUACUUUGGUUGGGCUGGUUUAUCCAGAAGCUUUCUAGGCCUAGGCAUUCCCAUUCCUGGAAUUCUCUAAUGGGGAAAAGCAGAGAAGGGAGAGUUGGGGGGAAGGUUCCGGACUGUCCCCCUCCCCCACCCGGUCCUCGUUAGUCUUCAAACCAGGCUCCCACAAACCAGUGGCUGACCUCCCCCUUCCCUGACCCCAGCCCUCACUGAGUUCCUGGAAUCACACCCUGAGCCUUGGGCCUGUUCCCUUCCUUUGCCUCCAACCCCACGUCUCUAUACCUACUCAUCCCUGGGUACCCUCCAUCUCGCAGGUGCCGUGGUAACUCUGUGCUGCUCUUCCUCUGCGUCUCACUUGCUGGGAUUUAGGAUUAAGAUUGUGAGAACCAGACCCUGGAUUAGAGUAGGCAUGGCCAACUGACUACUAGACAGUCAAAUAGAUACCUGUGUUUACCAUGAUGCUCUAUUGGAAGAAUGGCGUUAGUCCACCUUUCGGAGGCAGGCGCUCUUUAAGGAGUUCCCGUUGUGGCUCAGCAGUAAUGAACCCAACGAAUAUCCAUGAGGAUGCGGGUUCGAUCGCUGGCCUUGCUUAGUGGGUUAAGGAUGUGGCAUUGCCACGAGCUGCGGUGUAGGUUGGAGGCAUGGCUCAGACCCCGCAUUGCUGUAGCUGUGGUGAGGACCGGCAGCUACAGCUCCAAUUUGACCCCUAGCCUGGGAACUUCCAUAUGCCUCAAGUGCAGCCCUAAGAAGAAAAAAAAAAAAGGAGCAACACAGAGUACAAGAUACUUCCACUCUCUUCAGCUCAGUUUUCACACUCGUAGGUCAGGAAAAAUAGUAACACAGUGACUGAGCACGCUUCUGUGCCAGGAACUGCUCCAAAGCACUUUACAUGUAUUAGCUCACUUGGACCCCAUAACAACACGUUCAGGUAGGUACCAUUUGGACUCACCUUACAAUGUUCUUUGAGGAUGAGAUGAGACAAUGGAUGAAACAGCACUUUGGUGCAUAGUGCAUGCUCAAAAAUAGGAGCAAAUCAUUAUUAUUUUCAUUGCUAUCCAAACGAGGCACCUUAUGUGGGGAUAUUAAAGAAUGGUACAACUGAAAGUGAUAUUUGAGAUUUGAAAAACCAACUCCAUGUUUUAUUGGUGAGAAAACUGAGGCAGAGAGAAAGAGUUGAUCGGAGCCACCGUAGGACGCAGUGGCAAGGCUGAGACUGAAACCUGGGAAUCAACUCCAGGCCUGCAUCACACUCAAGACACCAAGAGAUCAAGUCAGCCUGCUGCUGAGUUCAGCUCCCUUUGAGAUUGUAGCUUUCAUCUCAACAGCCUUCCAGAAAUAGUGAUAGUAUGGUUCUGGGCUAACUAACCCUAUUAUACUGAAAGGAGACUUAUCACUGGGCAAGAACCUGCCUGAAGCUAUGAAGUUCCCAUUCAUGGAUAGACAAGGGUGGGAGGCGUGUCCUUCAUUUUCCUUGUUUCCUCAUUAGAGGGUAAUUUUCUUGAAGCCCAACACCAGAGCAGAACAGAGCACUGGUAGAUGUGUUUGCCCCUCACCCAGCUCCACUCUCAUUCCCGAAUUGGGAGUUAGGCUAAGGAGGCGCUGUGCCCCAAAGAAGGGGCCAACAGAACCAAAUGGGACUGCCAGCUCCAUCCUUCUUGGCUGCAUAAUCUUCGGCAUUCCUUCCCCAGCUCAAAGCCUCAGUUUCCCCAUAGGUAUAAAGCAGCCAAGAGAACCGCCUCGCAGGGCUCUGGUAGAGUUGAAUGAUCAGUACACAGGAAUGAUUGCACAUGGCACUGGCCACGUGAUGCUGGGCAGGCAGGCUGAGCUCCUCCAUCCUGACUCAACCCCUGGCUAUGUUCCUUUUAGUCCCAUAAGCUGGGUUUCCAAGGGGUCUUCCCAGGGGCUGGGCCAUCCAGGAGCUUCCAGCUCUAAGGACCGAGGCCCCAGGCACCCUUCCUUGGAAUGUGGCCAAUCCUGUUCUUUGGGGUCUGACCCUCCCCCCAGACAUGCAGUCUUCUCUGGGGUCCUGACCUGUGGCUCCUUCCAUGACCACACCAUUUAGGCAGAGCACUGGAAGGGGAGUGAUGAGAUCCAGGUUUGAAUCCUGAUGUUGUCAUCAGAUGAACCAGACCCUUGAGCAAGGCACCUGCUUCUCUGG
rnacentral:lncRNA from 1 species